rnacentral:ncRNA from 1 species
UUGCACCUACCGAGUGGGGUAACGGAAACGUCCCCAAAAUAAUCCUAUGGAUGUUUUGACAGCUCGUAGUAGGUGCAUUU